UAGCUAGUUGGUGGGGUAAGGGCCUACCAAGGCGACGAUCGGUAGCUGGUCUGAGAGGAUGGCCAGCCACACUGGAACUGAGACACGGUCCAGACUCCUACGGGAGGCAGCAGUGGGGAAUAUUGGACAAUGGGGGCAACCCUGAUCCAGCAAUGCCGCGUGUGUGAAGAAGGCCUGAGGGUUGUAAAGCACUUUCAGUGGGGAGGAGGGUUGAUAGGUUAAGAGCUAAUUAACUGGACGUUACCCACAGAAGAAGCACCGGCUAACUCCGUGCCAGCAGCCGCGGUAAUACGGAGGGUGCGAGCGUUAAUCGGAAUUACUGGGCGUAAAGGGUGCGUAGGUGGUUGAUUAAGUUAUCUGUGAAAUUCCUGGGCUUAACCUGGGACGGUCAGAUAAUACUGGUUGACUCGAGUAUGGGAGAGGGUAGUGGAAUUUCCGGUGUAGCGGUGAAAUGCGUAGAGAUCGGAAGGAACACCAGUGGCGAAGGCGGCUACCUGGCCUAAUACUGACACUGAGGCACGAAAGCGUGGGGAGCAGACAGGAUUAGAUACCCUGGUAGUCCACGCUGUAAACGAUGUCAACUAGCUGUUGGUUAUAUGAAAAUAAUUAGUGGCGC
rnacentral:rRNA from 1 species